rnacentral:ncRNA from 2 species
UCAAUAAUAAAUAUUUUAGGUGCCCGAUAGUUUUAGUGAUAAUUGGUAAGCAAUCAUCACUAAAAAUGAAGGUGAAACGGGAAAUUUGUUAACCCUAUACUGCCCCCGCAACGGUGUAAGUUACAGUUUUUGUGUAACUCAAGUCCGGAGACCGGCCUAAAAUUAAAUUAAUCA